GAUGAUCAGGUUGAUAGGUCAGAGGUGGAAGCGUGGCGACAUGUGUAGCUGACUGAUACUAAUCGAUCGAGGACUUAACCAAA
rnacentral:rRNA from 1 species